AUACGUAGGGGGCGAGCGUUGUCCGGAAUUACUGGGCGUAAAGGGUGCGUAGGCGGUUAAUUAAGUUGGAUGUGAAAUACCCGGGCUUAACCUGGGGGGUGCAUUCAAAACUGGUUAACUAGAGUUCAGGAGAGGGAAGCGGAAUUCCUAGUGUAGCGGUGAAAUGCGUAGAUAUUAGGAGGAACACCAGUGGCGAAGGCGCUUCUCUGGACUGUAACUGACGCUGAGGCUCGAAAGCGUGGGGAGC
rnacentral:rRNA from 1 species